rnacentral:ncRNA from 2 species
UUUGUCAAUUAGGGGUGCUGCCUGACAGCAGUUGAGAUAAUACCCUUGAACCUGAUCUGGAUAAUGCCAGCGUAGGAAAAUUAUAUUAUAAGCCA